rnacentral:rRNA from 1 species
AUGUCACAAAACAGCCUGGCAUGUCUCAGUUUAAGCUUCUAUACUGCGAACUGCGAAUAGCUCAUUAUAACAGUUAUAGUUUAUUUGGUGGUCCCUUAUUACUGGAUAACCGUGGUAAUUCUAGAGCUAAUACAUCGCGCCCAAACCCAACUUUUUGGGGGGUUGUGUUUAUUUUAUACAGAACCAACCCGUCCUCGGAUGUGCCUUGGGUGAUCCAUAAUAACCGAACGAAUCGCAUGGCUAUGCCGGCGAUGGAUCUUCAAGUUUCUGACCUAUCAGCUAUCGGAUGGUAGGGUAUUGGACUACGUGGCUUGACGGGUAACGGAUUGUAGGGUUCGAUUUCGGAGAGGGACCUGAGAACGGCUACCCCAUCUAAGGAGGGCACCAGGCCCCAAAUUUCCCCAUCCCGAACCCAGGAAGGAAUGGCCAAAAAUUACCAUUGCCGGGCCACUUCUCGUGUAGUUGUAGUGAUGAAACCUUUUAUCAUCUCACAAGUAUCA